rnacentral:rRNA from 1 species
AUUGAACGCUGGCGGCAGGCUUAACACGUGCAAGUCGAGCGGAGAUGAGGUGCUUGCACCUUAUCUUAGCGGCGGACGGGUGAGUAAUGCUUAGGAAUCUGCCUAUUAGUGGGGGACAACAUUCCGAAAGGAAUGCUAAUACCGCAUACGUCCUACGGGAGAAAGCAGGGGAUCUUCGGACCUUGCGCUAAUAGAUGAGCCUAAGUCGGCUUAGCUAGUUGGUGGGGUAAAGGCCUACCAAGGCGACGAUCUGUAGCGGGUCUGAGAGGAAGAGCCGCAACACUGGGACUGAGACACGGCCCAGACGCCUACGGGAGGCAGCAGUGGAGAAUAUUGGACAAUGGGGGGAACCCUGAUCCAGCCAUGCCGCGUGUGUGAAGAAGGCCUUAUGGUUAUAAAGCACUUUAAGCGAGGAGGAGGCUACUGGGACUAAUACUCUUGGAUAGUGGACAUUACUCGCAGAAUAAGCACCGGCUAACUCUGUGCCAGCCGCCGCCGUAACAC